rnacentral:rRNA from 1 species
GUAGGCCUAACACAUGCAAGUCGAACGACCCCUUCGGGGGGAGUGGCGAACGGGUGCGUAAUACAUGGGAAUCUACCUUGUACUGGGGGAUAACAGUUGGAAACAGCUGCUAAUACCGCAUAAUACAUAUUGUCAAAGCUCCGGCGGUACAAGAGGAGCCCAUGGUUGAUUAGCUAGUUGGUGGGGUAAAAGCCUACCAAGGCGACGAUCAAUAGCUGGUCUGAGAGGAUGAUC